rnacentral:rRNA from 1 species
UUAAGAGGUGGCAAGUGUUGUUCGGAUUUACUGGGCGUAAAGGGUCCGCAGGCGGUUUUGUGUGUCAGAUGUGAAAGCCCACGGCUUAACCGUGGAAAUGCAUUUGAAACUACAGAACUAGAGUACGGGAGAGGAGAGGGGAAUUCAUGGUGUAGCGGUGAAAUGCGUAGAUAUCAUGAAGAACACCGGUGGCGAAAGCGCCUCUCUGGACCGAUACUGACGCUCAUGGACGAAAGCCAGGGGAGCAAAGAGG